AUACAGAGGGUGCGAGCGUUAAUCGGAAUUACUGGGCGUAAAGCGCGCGUAGGCGGCUUAUUAAGUCAGAUGUGAAAUCCCCGGGCUCAACCUGGGAACUGCAUCUGAUACUGGUAAGCUAGAGUUUUGGAGAGGGAAGUAGAAUUUCAGGUGUAGCGGUGAAAUGCAUAGAGAUCUGAAGGAAUACCAGUGGCGAAGGCGACUUCCUGGCCAAAGACUGACGCUGAGGUGCGAAAGCGUGGGUAGCAAACGGGAUUAGAAACCCCUGUAGUCC
rnacentral:rRNA from 1 species